CUCCUUUUCUCUAUGCCUUCCUGACUUUUCCAUGAUUUUUAUAGCAGCUGACCUUUGCCGUGACAGCACUUCUGCAUAAUUCGUUAUUGCAACAGUGAGAAGUCGUGUUUCACUGAAUUUAGAAAAGACAGCAUGAGAGACGAAUGGAAGGUGACGUAGCAGUGAACAAGACGAUGGCAGCGGCUGAAAAGACUGGAUUUGUAUUGUUUCUGCUGCUCAGCACCUCCAUGGAGAACCAGGAAAGGCAGGAAAAGAUGCCUGAUGUAUUCAGUGUGACGUAUGCUGCGGUCAUCCUCACAAACCCCAGGCAGAAAGAAUCCAAUGAAGACAGGGUUGACAUCAGAACUGAAUAUGCAGCGAUCAGAACCACACAGUGAUGCCUUGCAUGGGGUGCCUUGUGAUGGACUGGCGUCCCGUCCGGGGUGUGUCCCCUCCCCCUUGAGCCUUGCGCCCUGUCUUGCCAGGUUAGGCUCCGGUUUGCCAUGACCCUGCUCAGGACAAGCGGUUUGAGACAGUGUGUGUGUUUAGCACUGACAUUAUGUAAAGAAGCAAAACCAAACAUAAUAAUAAUAAUAAUAAUAAUAAUAAUAAUAAUAAUAAUAAUAAUAAUAAUAAUAAUAAUUUAUUAU
rnacentral:lncRNA from 1 species